CUUCACCGACCCCAGCCACAGCGGCCGGUCCUCGGGGUGCUCGCGGCCGUAGGUGGCCAGCAGCGCCUGGGCCUC
rfam:Actinokineospora bangkokensis strain 44EHW Scaffold17, whole genome shotgun sequence.